UUCCGGUUGAUCCUGCCAGACCCGACUGCUAUCAGAAUAGGACUAAGCCAUGCGAGUCAACGUAGCAAUACGUGGCAUACGGCUCAGUAACACGUAGUCAACAUGCCCAGGGGACGUGGAUAACCUCGGGAAACUGAGGAUAAACCGCGAUAGACCAUAAUGUCUGGAAUGAUUUAUGGUUCAAAUCUAUACGGCCCCUGGAUUGGACUGCGGCCGAUCAGGCUGUUGGUGAGGUAAUGGCCCACCAAACCUAAAACCGGUACGGGCUCUGAGAGGAGAAGCCCGGAGAUGGGCACUGAGACUAGGGCCCAGGCCCUAUGGGGCGCAGCAGGCGCGAAACCUCUGCAAUAAAGCGAAGCUUGACAGGGUUAUUCUGAGUGAUU
rnacentral:rRNA from 1 species